AAACAGCAGCUGCAACUGUUAUGGCAGGGAAGUGCAGACCCUGCCCUGAAGACUGGAUGUGGUACAGAAAUCAUUGUUACUAUUUCUCCAAAGAAAUGCAAAACUGGAACAGCAGCUGGAAGUUCUGCUGGUCACACAAUGCUACACUUCCUGUUAUAAAAGAAAAAUCAGCACUGGACACUAUCUACUCUAAAAAAGGAAAAGAAAAUUACUGGAUAGGACUAAGGAAAGAAACAGAGGGAUGGCGGUGGGUAGAUGGAUCACUGUUCACUAAUGACAUAAUUUUACUAGACGAAGAGGGGCAAAACAUGGCCUGUGCAUACCUAAAUACAGUGGCUUUGGCUCCCAUAGACUGCAUGUCUUUGCGACACUGGAUCUGCGUCAAGAAGUCCACUUGAGCUCUCUAGGUCAACAGAGCACAGCUUGUUCAAGUAAGGCACAGGUACAAUUUGAGUGUAGUUUUCUAUUUACCCCUGGGAAGGCUCCUCCAAUUUACUGUCUUUGGGGGAAAAAAAUGACUAUCAGAUUUUCUCCUGAUGGGGAGUGUUCAGGUGUCUGCCAUUGCUUUUGUGCAUGGGUGUUGCAGCUUUUUGUAAGGUGUACCAUCCUGGGUCAUAGCAGUGGUCCAUCUAGCCCAGUAUUCUGUCCCCAGCUGUGAGAGAAGUGGGUGCUAUACAGGGAAAGCACUGAAGCGGAUUUUCUGAGUGUGAUCUAUCUAUCCCCUUUCAAUGACCUUCCUAACAUCCACCAUUUAUUGAUUUUAGAGUUCUCAAUGGCAGCAUCUCGCACCUUUGCAAAUCAUUGUGUAGUUGCAUGAUGUCAUAUUGAAUGAAAUAGUUUGAAUGUUUGUAAAGGUUGCCCAUUAGCCAGUUUCAGGAAGAAGAUAGGAUUUAUCUCCUUAUCUAAGUCAUUGUUUUUGGGGCUACGUGUAAA